UCGAGCCUUCCUUCAUGCGUGCCUUCCUUCCUUCCUUCCUUCCUUCCUUACUUCCUUCCUUCCUUCCUCUCUCCCUUCUUCCUUCCUUCCUUUCUUCCUGUCUCUCCCUCCCUUACCUUCCUUCUUAGAAUCAAUACUCUACAUUGGUUCCAAGGCAGAAGAGCAGGAAAGGUUAGGCAAAUGGGAGUUAAAGUGAUUUGCCUAGCUUCACAUAGCUAGGAAGUGUCUGAGGCCAGAUUUUAACCCAAGAUCUCCUAUCCCUAGGCCUUGCUCUCAAUCCACCGAGCCACCUCACUGCUCCCCUCUGCUUUUCUCUCUUAAAAAAUUUGUACUUCAUGUAUUUUAACAUUUAAAAAAUGUUUGAUUUCCUGAUUCUUUCCCUUUGGUCCCUCCUUCACUCUUUGAGAAGGCAAGCAGUCUGUUAUUUAGAUAUUUGAAAUAAUGCAAAACAUACUCCCAAAGUAUUUCAAAAUGAGUCUUUGAGAAUGAGACCCUUUAGUGUGCAUAAGUUGCCCCAGAACUUAGAGUUGGUGAUGCAGGUGACCAGUUCUGGUGCCAUGAUUCCAUGCAUCAUAAUAAGAUCCCUGGAGACUUAGGGACCCUGAAACUACAGAAAGAAUCACCAAUCUCCUGCCAUCUUUAUUCCCAUUUGACUGCUGCCAUAGAACCCAGCAACUUUAGGCCUAUGACAACCGGACCGCCUUCAUCCCGCAGCCAUCAAACUGGGACAUCUUGUCACAUGAGCUACGGGGAAUAGAUGUGAGACCUCAAAGCCAGAUUCGAGGGAUGGAUGGAGAAGACCCACGAAGCACAGUGGUCAUGGGGAGGAGGAAUAGGCCAGGGGCCGGAUCAUACUUCUCUUCAACAAGGCAGCUUGACUAGGAAGGGAGUCGGGAGCUGGAAGCACAUCUGAAUGACCAACUUUGUGCUGAGCAGCGCUGCCUGAAAUGGUCUGUGCUUGAGGCAUUAGGAAUGCCUCCUCUCAUGGAAGUGGGAAUUGGGGUGGGGAGAAGGGCUGUGAGGACCAGGAAGAGCCAGGUGCCAUUCCCUGGGUGGUCAUGAAGAAG
rnacentral:lncRNA from 1 species